rnacentral:rRNA from 1 species
UGGGGAAUUUUGCACAAUGGGGGAAACCCUGAUGCAGCGACGCCGCGUGAUUUAGAAGGCCUUCGGGUUGUAAAAAUCUUUUUUACGGGAUGAAAAUGACAGUACCGUAAGAAUAAGGUCCGGCUAAAUACGUGCCAGCAGCCGCGGUAAUACGUAUGGACCGAGCGUUGUCCGGAAUCAUUGGGCGUAAAGGGUACGUAGGCGGCCUAGUAAGUUAGAAGUGAAAUAAUAUAGCUCAACUAUAUAAAGCUUUUAAAACUGCUAGGCUUGAGAGAUGGAAGGGAAAGUGGAAUUCCUAGUGUAGCAGUGAAAUGCGCAGAUAUUAGGAAGAAUACCGGUGGCGAAGGCGACUUUCUGGUCAUCAUCUGACGCUGAGGUACGAAAGCGUGGGUAGCAAACAGG